rnacentral:tRNA from 1 species
GCGCGGGUGGCGAAAUUGGUAGACGCGCUGGAUUUAGGUUCCAGUGAAGCAAUUCUUGGGGGUUCGAGUCCCCCCUCGCGCACCA